UCAAACUUGGUCAUUUAGAGGAAGUAAAAGUCGUAACAAGGUCUCCGUUGGUGAACCAGCGGAGGGAUCAUUACAGGAAUCGCAAGGCUCCCGUAACCACCGUGAACCUCUAUCCUUCGUUGCCUCGGCGGGCGCCUGACGCAAGUCGGGCGCUCACGCCCGCCGGCGGCCCCCCCGAACUCUCUGUCUCGCGCGUUGGCAUCUCCGAGCAUGACACAAACGAAUCAAAACUUUCAGCAACGGAUCUCUUGGCUCUGGCAUCGAUGAAGAACGCAGC
rnacentral:misc_RNA from 1 species